rnacentral:rRNA from 1 species
CAGUCGCCGCGGUAAUGCGUAGGUGGCAAGCGUUGUCCGGAAUUAUUGGGCGUAAAGGGCUCGCAGGCGGUUUCUUAAGUCUGAUGUGAAAGCCCCCGGCUCAACCGGGGAGGGUCAUUGGAAACUGGGAAACUUGAGUGCAGAAGAGGAGAGUGGAAUUCCACGUGUAGCGGUGAAAUGCGUAGAGAUGUGGAGGAACACCAGUGGCGAAGGCGACUCUCUGGUCUGUAACUGACGCUGAGGAGCGAAAGCGUGGGGAGCGAACGGGAUUAGAUACCCGAGUAGUCCCUGUCUCUUAUAC